GUAGAGAUGGCUCAGUGGUUAAGAGUACCGACUGCUCUUCCAGAGGUCCUAAGUUCAAUUCCUGGCAACCACA
rnacentral:tRNA from 1 species